rnacentral:rRNA from 1 species
GGCGGACGGGUGAGGAACACGUAGACUGACCUGCCCUGGAUGAGGGGGGAUAACGCGGGGAAACCCGAGCUAAGACCCCAUAUAAGCUCACGAUAAUUAUGAUAGUUGUGAGAAAAGGCUCCGUGUGCUCCAGGAGGGGUCUGCGGCCCAUCAGGUAGUUGGGGGGGUAACUGGCCCAUCCAAGCCAUUGACGGUGUAGGGGACCUGAUGAGGGUGACCCCCCACACGGGGUACUGAGACACGGCCCGACUCAUACGGGUAGGCAGCAGUAAGGGAUAUUGCACAAUGGGCGCAAGCCUGAUGCAGCAACGCCGCGUGCCCGAUGAAGGCCUUCGGGUCGUAAAGGGCUUUUCUGGCUGAAGAGGAAGGACAGUAAGCCAGGAAAUAAGUGUCGGCUAACUAGCGUGCCAGC